CUGAAGUAAAAGAAAAUACAAAACUGGAAACUUAGAAUUCAAAGAUUUUUUGCUUUAUUUCUUUACAUUAUUCUGUGGUUUCUGAAUUUAUAACUUACUUUUUCUUUUUAAGGCCCAUUAAUAGAACAACACAUGAACAUAACAUUGUGUGGAAGAUGCUGAAGACAGUUCCAGACUUAGCCUCCCAGCUAAAUGAUGAGCAUCUGAAAACACUUAGCAAGAAUAUCAUUUCUGAAACCUGGGUCAAAGGGAGCAUAGUGUUUGGAAAUGAUGGAUUUUAUGUGAUAUUGAAAGGCUUAGCUCAACCUUACACAGGCUUGUGUGAAAAUCUGACUGAAGAAAAUGACUUAACAACUUCUAUUAUACCUCAGAUCAGUGUCGUUUUCAACGAAGGCCUAAAAACCUAUUCAACUCCUGAGAUCUUCCUACCUCCAUAUGACUUAAUGCUGAGAGAAUGGAGUACCUUUGGAUCCCUGGAAGAGACACCUGCAAUUGAAUUAGAAACAAGGCCACUCUCAGUGGUGGCAGAAGAUGAUUGUGAAAUUCUUAAAAUCCCUGCAAAAGAUUAUGCAAAGUUAAAAUUGGAAAAAGCAAAACUUGAAAAUAUACACAAGAUGAAAUUAAUCCAUAAGUGUCCCUAUUAUGAGGAGUGGCCUACUUUAUCCAUAUGUGAGCUAACUGCACUUAUUAAAUGGAAAAAACUUCCUGCAGGUCAUGGUGAGUAAAUUGUAGAUAAUAUUAUAUUAUUGGAAUUUAUAAUUCUUCACAGUUUUAAUAUUUGUAAAUAUUUGUAAAUAAUGUUUCCUUGAACAUGCAAUCUCUAGUG
rnacentral:lncRNA from 1 species